rnacentral:piRNA from 1 species
UUCUAGCCUGUUCUUACUUCAAAGAUGCCU